UUGACAGUCUAAAAUAAAAGAAAAUUUUAAAUAUGUUAAAUGAAGUUAUUAGUACUAGUUGUCAUCAUUUUGAAUGACCAAAUGGAUUAUUCAUGACAUAAUGUUACACUUAGUUGUAAUAAACUAUUUAAAACAAUGGAAACAUAGUUAUGUACAUACCAAGCAUGUGCUUUUCAUUCAUGUCCCAAUCAGAAUUUCUCAUGGCUGUUUAAAUCCAUAACUUACAAAAUCACUAAUAACUGCAUGUAAUCACUGUACUCAUAACUGAUCAACUGAAAAUUUGAAUUUGCCGGGAGGCGUUAACGAGGUCAUGAACCCUGGAGAAAUGGAGAACAAACCUGAUAAGCAGAAGGCUCAUGUAUCAAUGGAAUUAACACAGGUCUAGAGCCUAUUGUAAAAGCUUUACCAGAAAAGAAACUUUGAAUUUUUAAACUGCAUAGAAUAUGAUAAUCAUUUCUGCAAUUAUAUUUUUAUGGUAUUACAAAACAUGUCUAAAUCAAGAUGCAGGGAAUAAAACUACAGACAUACAGUGAAGAAUUUUUGAAAUAGGAUGUUAUCACAAUUGGAGUGUCUGCAUUCCAGACUUGAACUACAUUUAUUGCUGGAUUAUCUUAAUUAAUGGACCAGUGUCAGGUAAAUGAUUGUUUCACUCAGUUUACAUUAAGAAGUUUAAAUAUCAGAAAUCCUAGUCUCAACUUUGAAUUUUUUCUAAGAUUGAUUCUGAUAUGGAUGUGCAAAAUAUGGACAAGGAAACAUUUAAACAUUCGCUUGUGAAUCAUUGAAAGGGAGCUAUUUUUAGCUGACCAAAUUUACUGCCAGGGCAUAUAGGCAAUCAGAGCAAACAGAUUAGAAAAAACUACUUUUGGAUAGUUAUUCAUGAAAGAGUCAAAAUAUCUCAUUCUCAGCUGUUAUCAAAAUAUGUGUGCAAAUCAUGGCCUUGCUCUAAAAAGGAUUCAAAGAUACAGAUAUGAUUCUUGUAUAUUAGGAUUAUUACCAUUUUAAAACACAUUCUAAAAAGGAUGAUGGAAAUGUAAUUUCUAAUCAUUUAUGUGGAACAGAGGACCGCCAGAUUGUUUGUGUCAUACAUUGUGGAAAAAAUCUCAUGGCAUGAAGAAGUAUAAUGCUGCUUUCAUAACUUUGAUGAAAAUGCAAUAUGGUCAACAGAUAACGUGAUUCUUGGUGCAUUAAGUUUAUUUGGGCUGAACGUUUUCAUUUUCUGCAAAUAUGGUUAAGAGGACUGGUUGAUGUUUUAACGAUUUCUUUCAAAACUGCGGUUCCCUGGAGUAAUUUAUCUGCAUCAUAAGCAUGGCAAUUCUAAUAAGGAUUAACAUCUGUUUUACCAAAAGAAGCUGAAACCGAUCAGGCAAAUACGGAAUUAAUUUUGGGGACCUCAGAGAAAGUGAAACAGGACAGAAGAUGCAAAAAAAUAUUCAUAAAAAUGUAGUAGAUUCUUCAGAUAUUAGCUGUCUCAUGUGAAUACGCAAAAUACCAUAAACCACAACCAUAAAGGAUAUAUUUUGUAUGUGGCUGCCACAACUGAAGAAAAUAGCAGAUAUAUGAAAUGGAAACUCAAAGUCAAAACUAACAUGAUAUGGAAUUAAACAUUUACGCUCAUGUAGAAUGUGCCAAAACCAUGUUACAAACUAUUUUUUAAUUGUGUACAUACCGGUAGUGAUACUUAUGCCUACAUGUACAUUAUGAUAUCAUGCAAUAUAGGAAAUUCUGGAAAGACUCAAACCCUGAUCCAUAGAUCCACCACUUGCGAAAAACAGUGUCACAACCUUUUUACCUGUACCUUUUAUGUCCCUUUUAAGGAAGAAAUCGGCAAAAAUAGUAGUUUUUGUCAAAAUUAAAUGAGAUAUAUGGUUUUACAAGACAUAUGACAUAAAGUCGCCAUAAUACAAUUUUUAAUGUACCGGUAGUCAUAAUCAUUUAAUAGCUUGCAUUACCUUACAGCUAUGAAAAAAGGUUUAGUGCCAUAACGUUCCUCUUUUUUAUGGGGCAUAUUUUUCUAUCAUUUGAAAAUUAUGAUUACUGUUUUUAAAUGACAUCCACGCUCUUUUCAGUGUUUGACUGUAUCAUGGUGAAGGUACUGUUGAGCCAUGGAACACAAAGAACCUUUUAUAAUCAAAGAUCUUUUAUAAUACACGGCACGGCCUUUUUCUUAGAUUUAAGUUUGGUAUGUAUUAAUUGAUAUUUCAUGUCAGACACUUGGGGUUCAGCUGUCAAGUGAAUUGCUGUAACAGUCUCUUCAAGUAUACUUUAAUAAAUCAUUCCGAUCAUAGUAUCUUUUAUGGAUAUAAAAUUUUCCAUACUAUUAGGACUUUUUGAGAACACAAUGUUUCGGUUUAUGCUACAUUUAUAUCCCAAUCUUCACAUUUGGACUAAAGACACUCAUAAUCAGAACUGACAGUGAACUUGUAUGAAAAAUAGGACCUAUCUAUUUUUGAUGAUGAUACAAAUCCAUUAGUUGAGGAAGUAUAAUUAACUUCUAGAACUUGGACUGUAUGUCUUUAUCUUUGUACAUGUUAAAGAUGUUUACUUGAAAUUUUAAGACUACAUUUCACGAAACACGUGUCUGAAAACAGUAAAGAUCUUAUUCUGAA